rnacentral:lncRNA from 1 species
GUCUCUUGAAGAGAACAAUUUGAAAUAAUUUAAUAGUUUUUUUAUUAUUCAAUUUUGUCUCCACUAUUUAUUUGUCUUAUAUCAUAUUUUGGUAAUUGCUCUAAGAUUUACUCUCUACAUCUUUAACUUAUCACAGCGUACAAUCAAAUAAUAAUACUCUACUUCACAUACAUUCUAGGAAUCUUACAAUAGUCUUUUGCUACUCCUUUUCUCCAUAUUGUAAACUCCUCAAUACAUUGUUACUAGUUUUGAUUUAAAAAGUCAAUUAUUACUUAAUGUUUUCAAAAAUAAGAAAAAUAAACUUCUUUUAUACUUACCUACAUUUUUAUAAUAUCAAAUGUCCUCAAUUCCUUUGUGGAAAUCCACAUUUCCAAUUGAUACCAUAUUCCUUCAUUUAACCAUUUAUUGUAGUUUUAAUUUGCUACCAACAAAGUCUCUCGGUUUUUUAAUAUAAAAAUAUCUUUUGUUUUGUUUUGUUUUGGUGCUCAGUUUUGAAAGAUUUUUAUUUUGCUGAGUACAAAACUCCAUGUUGAUAGAAGUGGAGGGAGAAAGAUGACCAGAGAAGCCUGCCAGUAAUCAACACUGUGGAGAAACAGAAAGGGUGAACAAAGUUAACAGGAUUUGUCAAUUAAAACAUCAUUCAUGCUCCACAGGACAUUGGCUCUGUAUUCUUCAGAAUUAAGGAGAAAAUAUAGAUAGUAGCUGUAGCUUAUUUUUGCAAGAAGAUUGGUAUUAAAAUUAGGAGGCAGAAUAAUAGACUGAUAGGAUAGGACAGGAUAGGAUAGGAUAGGAUAGAAUUUAAACAUGCACACACAAAACAAGCGCUAGUUGAUAGAGAAAGUUUCAGAAUCAAGUAGAGAGAAUUGAAUUUUGCAGUAUUAGUUUUUUUUUGCUGUGGAACAAAUUCUCACAGAUGUAGCAAGUAAAAAAAUCAUUCCCCAUUUAUUAGCACCUUUCUAUAGGUCAGAAGUCUGGAAUAAUGUGGUGGGGCUCCUUGCUCAAAGUAUCACAAAGCUGAAAUCAAGAUUUCAGCUGGACUGACUUCUUAUCUUCAGGGUCUUGGGCACAAACAGCCUCCAAGCCCAUUCCUGUUCUUGGCUGAGUUCAGUUCCUUCCGGGUGAUGUCCUCAUUUCCUCGUUGGUUAUUAGCCAGGGCCUGGUCCAGUUUCCAAGAGGCCACUGCACUUCUGGCCAUGUGUCCUCCUCCAUCUUUAAGCAAGCAAUGGUGCUUUGAAUCUCUGAAAUGCUCUUUUGCAACUAUCUGGAGGAACCUCUCUGCUUUUAAAGUAGCUAUGUGAUGAGGUCAGGCCCACAAGGAUAAUCUUAAUGUCAAUUGAUUAAAACCUAAGACUUUUAAUUAUAUCAGCAAAACCCCUUCACAGAGAUACCGAGAUUAGUAUUUGAUUGAAUAACUGAGAGAAAAUGUGUGUACACCAGGGACCAGGAAUCUUGGGAUUUCAGGGGAUGGUGUAUUAGAACUCGGCCUACUACACAGUACAAAAGGACCUGACCUAGUUAAAAAUAGAGAAAGGGAGAAAGGUAUUUCUUUCUCUACUUUGUAUGUAUGAGAUAAGAUAUGUGAUAUUUUAUUGCAUAAAGAAUAAUGAAACAUUAGGGAUACUUUAUGAAGAAAAGGAGGAAAGUUGAUAAAUUUAAACCACAUGGAAAAAUUAGCUGAAUAUUAGAAAGACAGGUAAAAUUAAUACUUUGAGGACUAUACAAUAGAGUAGGCAAUCAACAUAAGUUAGCAUAGGAGUCCAGACUUCUCUGAAGACCUUUUGGAACCUGGCAAGGAUGUAGCUAUGAAGAAAUUAGAGAUUUACAAUAGAGAACAUUCAAGCAAUUAAGGGAUCCUUAGCUGUUAGAGAAGUUACAGUGAGUGGCUGAAUAUGUAGUUUAGAGUGAUAAGUUGGUCAAGAGAAGACAGAAAAGCUCUGAAGUACAGGAAAUUGUAGUGUUAAAAAUAGGAAAUAUUAUACAUCCUAAUGAAGAGAAAAUAGUAAGUUCAGAUAUUAGAAAUUAAUACAUGACAAAAAGCUAGAAUGCUGAUCUUGAAUUUAGAUCUAGAAUCAAAACAUUAAAAAUACAUUUCUUUUCAUCAGAUGAUACAAGUUGAUUGUAAUGACAAAACAUGACUAUAUGAUGAUGUGUGGCUAGAGAUAAAGAACAUUAUAAUAUAAUAAUGGACAUAAUACAUAAUAUAACAUAAUAAUGUACAUGACUGAGGAAUUCUGAAGCCAGAUGUAUUAGUCAGGGUUCUCUGGAGGGACAGAACUAAUAUAUCUCCUAUUAUAUAUAUAUAGGAGGAGCUGAGAAGCAAGGACAGCCAGUCUGAGUCCCAAAACUGAAGAACUGGGAGUCUGAUGUUUGAAGGCAGGAAACAUCCAGCAUGGGAGAAAGAUGUAGGCUUGUUUUUCUGCCUGCUUUAUAUUCUAGCUGCACUGGCAGCUGAGUAGAUGGUGCCCACCCAGAUUAACGGUGGGUCUGCCUUUCCCAGCCCACUGACUCAAAUGUUAAUCUCUUUUGGAAAUACCCUUACAGACACACCCAGGAUCAAUACAUUGCAUCCUUCAAUCCAAUCAAGUUGACACUCAGUAUUAACCAUCACACUAGGAUAAUAGCUUUUAUUUUUUAUAUUUUUAAUGUGGUUUUGUUUUAAUCUUUAUCCUUAUAUAUGCACAUGCAAAGCUAGAAGAGUCAAGUAGUUUUUUCUUAUAACAAAAUAGAGAAUUCAUUGUGCCCUCUCUCUCUAAUUUGCCUGUCUAUAGAGGCAACUAUUUUCAACUUUUUAGCUGAUUUUUUUUGGCAUUUACCUCCAUACUUCAAAUAUCAGAAUUAUAUUGUUAUGUCUUGACUUUUUGUUCAAUUCUUAGGUAUUCUCUACUUAUUUUCUCCUAUAAAGAAAUGAGGUUUAGCACUGUUUUACUCUCAUACACUCAGCUCUUACCACAAAUGUAUACCUCUUUUCUUUUUCUCUCUGCAUCUCUCUUUCUCUUUUUCUCUCUCUUUCACACACACACACACACACACACACACACUCACACUCAAUCUUCCCCAUGUUAUCAAUAUAGUUAUAAGUUUUAUUACAUCCAUGUUUACACAAUUAUGUGUAUGUAAAUGCUAUUCUAAGCUAUUUUGCAUACUAAAACUAUUUCUCCUUUCUUAAUCAAAUUCUUCACCCUCUGGAGUUAAAAAUUACCUGAUUUUUGCAUACUUUUUUUUUUAUCAUGUACUUAACACUAAGUCAAAUCUAAGCUUUUCACCGAUUGUCAAAAUCUCGUUUUAAAAUGCAACAUUUAAUUGAUAAAAUAUAUCUUUUGAAGACAUCUCUUCUGAGGACUUCUAACCUGCCCCAUUCUGGACUGAUUUUCCUUUAUGCCUGCUAUACAUCUAUCUUUGUGGAAUUUUCAUGUUGCCAUGACCCGAAAGAUGCUCUUUACUUUUUCUAUAUUUUCUAUAUUCCAUGCUUCCAUCUUUGUUGGUACAUAACCUUAUUUUAAUGAAGCUCAUUUAGGGUAGUUUCUUGAUAAAAUUACCUAGUAGAUUAUUUUACAAACAUUGAACAUCUCUACCAUAGUACUGAUUUAUGAUUUGGCUGAGUAUCAAACCCUAGGUUUUAAAUAAUUUUCCCUUAAAAUCUUGUAGACAAUGCUUCAUUGUCUGUAGUUUCCAGUGUUGUUCAUAAACAGCCUGAAGCCUUUCUAACUCCUGAGACUUUUCAUGUGAUUCAUUUUUGUUCCCUCCCUGGAAGUCAUAAAAUCUUAUCUUUGCCCUCAGGGUUCUACAGUUUCAUGUUGAUGUACCUUGAUAUGGGUCCAUUUUGCUGAGUCUAUUUUGCUGAGCGCAGAGUGGGGCUUUUACUCUCACAACCCAAGUCCUUCAAUUGUAAGAAAUAGUCUCAGUUAUUUAGUUGAUAGUUUUCUCUCUUCAGUUUUUAUUAUUCUCUCUCUGGCACUUCUGUUACCUGGAUGUUAUACUUCCUUUAGUUUUUCUUUCAUUUUCUUAUAUUCUUUUCACUUAAUUUUCCUUUCUUCUGUUUUAAUUUUAUAUUUCUGUGCUUUGAAGGAGAUUUUCUCACCUUUAUAUUUGGAUAUUGCAAUAGAAUUUUUUAAAAUUUUGCUGAAUUCUUUUUUCAUAAAAAUGUCUUAUUUCUCUAAGCAUAUCAAUAAAAUUCUUUUUUCAUGCAUAGUCCCAAUUUCCAAAAUUUCUUAUUUUUUCUCUGUAUAUUUUGAUCCUUUUUUUUUUAACUUGGAAGUUCACAGAUGGCUGGUGAUCCUUGGGUGUCUGCUAAUAUUUAAAAGUAGGGCAUUUAAAAGUUGCCUUGGAAUAUUGAGCCCCCAAAUGAAGCUUGUAACUGUAAUCUUCGCUAUAGGUUAUGCCACUGUCUUAAAAAAAAGUGUAUUUAUGUUUUUUCUCUUGGCUAAGUAGAUUCUCCAUAUAAUGAUCUUUCAAUAGCCUAGAGGUUAUAAUCUUGGCUGCUGUCAUUUCUGGAAGACAUGUUGGGGAGAGAGCUAGGGGAUCAAUAUUCAGUAUUAUAAAUGUUAAUUUAAUUAUCCUAUGUUCAACAGAAUCCCCUACCUUCAAAUGUCUCCCAGAUUAGAAACCUAUCUUGCCCACCUCCAGUCUUUUUUUGGUACAAAAUAAAAUAAAUCCUUUGGAGGUAUGCAAUGAUUGAGAAGACCUGAGGUUCUCAUUGUUUCUUUGUUCUUUUUUAAAUUGCUUUUUUACUCAUUGAUUUUAUUGAGGAAUAACAGGCAUGCAAUAAAUCUUCUAUUGAAAGUAUACAACCCAAUAAAUUUUGAUAGUAUAUUUGCUCAUGACCACACAACCACAAUCAAUAUACAGAAUAUAUCCAUCACCCGCAAAAUAUUCCUCACAUCCCUUGAAGUCAAUUCUUACUUUAGUCCUUACCCCAGGCAACUACUAUAGACAAUUUUGCAAUUUAUAUAAAUGUAAUACAGCUUGUAAUCUUUUGUGUCUUGCUUCUUUCAGAAUAAUGAUUUUGAGACUUAUCCAUGUUGUUGUGCUUACAAUGAUUUGCUUCUUUUAUUACUGAAUAUUAUUCCAUGGUAUAAAUGUACGUCCUUUAUUUUAUUCAUUUAACUAUAAGUGGACUCUUGAGGUGUUUCUAAUUUUUGACCAUUUCAAAUGAAGCUGUUGUGAACAUUUGUUUAUAAAUAUUUAUGUGGACAUAUGCUUUUGUUUCCAUUCCAUAAAUACUAGAUGUGUAAGAUUACAUUUCUAAGAAACUAUCAGUUUUUCAAAGUGAUUGGACCAUUUUAUAGGUACUCCACAUCCUUGUCAACACCUGUUAUUAUCCAUGUUUAUAAUUUUAGCCAUCCUAAUGGGUGUAUGGUUUUAACUGUUGCUUAAAGUUUCCAACUACUCAUCCUUGUUUUAAUCCACCUUGCCCUCAUUUCCAUCAGAAAACUGGCACUACAAAUUGUUAAUUUUUUAAUGGUAUUCUAUGUAUAGAUAAGGUUGUUUCUUGGAUUUUUGCCAUGAGUUAAGAGUUCAGUCUUUCCCAGAUUGCUAAAUCAGUUACUAUCUGUUCAUAUGCUUUCUGUCUCCCAAAGUACAGUUGUGAUGGUGUCUACUCUACUUAUCUUUGUCCUAUAUGUGUUCACAUUGAAAAAUCCCCUUAUUUUUAUCUUAGUGGGAUUCUUGACAGGAAUAUAAAAACAGGUUGUAUUUAAUUCAUCAUCUUCAUCCCUCUGGUAUUUAACAGGUAUAUUUAACAUUUAAAAUUGUUGUCAGAGCACAGACAAGGUUAGAGGUAAAACAAUUAAUUAGAUGUUAAGAUAAAUACUAUGCAAAUAAUUAAAGAAAUGAUGAUGUAAUGCAAAUAAUGAAAUGAUGGUGUAAGAUACAUAAGUGUAUAUUCAAAAAGGUGUACAUAUUAAAAGGGAGUCCUUUUUAAAAAUUGUUAUUAUGUUGGCGUGAUCGUUUGACAGGGCCUUGAGGAAAAAUAAGGGGUUAAUAUGUCCUAUUUUUCAGAGAUCUGGGGGAAGUAGUAGGAGAAUAAAUUUAUUGGAGAGAGAUAUAGAAAAUAUAAGGUACCUCACUAAAGUAGGAGAAGGACUACACUUACAUUGAGGCAUUUUGAUUUUGUUUUAAACAUUGAGUGCGUUGUUGCAAUAACAGCUCCUCAAGGUGUCAUAUUUGAUAUGAAAUAUACAUUCAGAUAUUUUUGGGGGUCUUAUUCAAAGUUUUCAUGGAAUAGAAAAAUAAAAUUUAAAUGAUUUGGAUGAUCUUGUUCACCAUUCUAUGCUUUCAAUGUAUUAUCUUGAAUGAGUGACAUCAAAGAUAUACAUUUUGUUUUCACAUUAUUCUUUGAUGUGUCACAUUAUUUGUCAGUGUAUUGCCACACUGGAAUUUAAGUGUUAUAGGAACGAUGUUUUCUUAUACAAUAGAAUUAUUAAUGAAAAAAUUCAAUUACUUUAACAUAUGGUUCAAUAGGAAUAUUAAUGAGAAAAUUCAAUUACUUUAACAUACUGUUCAAUUAAAGGAAGAGUUAUAUUCCAUCGCUAAGGGAAUAUAACAAAUAAUACAUUUUUUCUACAACAUAAUCUCCUCUAAAGCGUUUUGAAACAUAAUUCUGAACUAUCAUUUAUCUGGAGAAGUAUAACCAGAAUGAAGAUAUCCUAGAAAAAAAAUGCAAUAGAGAAAAGUUUAAAAGAAUCAGGAUUGUUGAACCUUGAAUAAAUAUUUAGGAUGGGCAUAAUAAAUCUAUUAGAUUACUUUACUCCAAAGGUUCUUAUGUGAAAGCUGAGAUAGAUAUAUUCAGUGUACAUACAGAUAAUAAAUAAUCUUUUUAUAGGAUGUAAUAUUCUGAAUUGGGAGGGAUGCUGAUUAUUGGAGCUCUUUCUAACUCUCGAAGAGCUUACUGGUUAAGCUCAUAGCAUUAUAGUCACAUUCAGAACAAAGUAUCUAGUCUGCAAGCUUAAUUAUACAGCAUAAAUGCUGGCCUUUGAAAGGUCAGUUAAGCUACCUGCGUUUGAGAAUGGCUAUUUGAAGAAAUGAAUCAAUAAAUCAAGGAAGCAGAAAUGUAAAAUGUAUGUUACAAUUUUCUGAUAGUUAAAAUUGCUAGCUGUCAAAGUUUAGUCCUUCAUAUAUUUUUAAAUAUCUAUGAUUAGAAAUUAAGCUAAACAAGCCUAAAUUACUCAUUAUAUUUUACAUUUGAUAUGUGGAAAAACCCAUCACAGUUUUGAAGUAACAUUAUAUAGAAAGGGUUAAAUUCUAAGCUAUUUAUGUACAAGGCUAAUUCUUACCAGGUAUUUACUGAUGUAAAGCUAGAAUGAUAUAGCUUAAUCUUACAUCCAGUUAAACCAUAUCACAAACUAGAAAGAUUAAAGUGCAUUGGGUAGCCACUUCUUAUAAUGGUCUCCAAAGAAACUACUAUAGAUAAACAAAGCUAAGAUUUUAAAAUACGCACUUGAUAAACAACCUAGCAUUCACUUUUAUCUGCUUUAUCAAAGUUGCUGUUUUAAAAAGGGGGAAAAAAACCCUAGUUUCUUUUUUUAACAAAUGUCCAAAUGCAACUGAAGAAGUUGGUAGGAACAUUUUAAAGUUAAUUUUUUUAACCUUUUACAGAAAGUUCCGAGUGGCAAGAUGCAGUCAAUAUAUCCAACUAAGGAUUUUUAACUACUGUUAAAUAAUACAGUUUUUGCUUCUGUGUUUUUAAUGGCUUUAAAUUUAUUUUCCAGUGUUUAGGCAAUAAAUCUAUAAUUUAAAUGAUAAUUGUAUUUCUGUAAAACUAGAUAGCAAAAAUAAGAGUGGUGAGAAAUACAAUAAAUCAAGCCAUCAGAUUGACAUGGUAUAAUGUGAAGAGUUGCGUGAGACAAAGCAAUAUCUUCUUUGGGAGAAAUUUCGAAUGGAGCAGUUAAGACAUGUGGUCUUACCUAGACAAUAGGUCAAAUAAACUAGCUACAGUCUUCCUUGUUUGUAAAAAUAAUGACAUACAUCAACAGUAGACCAGCAGUAAGGGUUUCCUGUUUUCCUUCCAAACUGUUGACUGUUAAAAACACACCUGUAAUAUAGCUUGCUAUUUCUGCAUUCACUUGUUGUCCAUUGAACUUAAUAUAUUAAAAUUUCCCAGUUAUGAUUAAAGAUAAAACACUCUAACAUUUUAUUUCAGAAAAUGAUUCAGGGAUUAAUAUGUAUAUUUCAUUGUUGGUUCUGCCCUUAGUCUAUGCAGCUAUCAGAUUUAUGUUGCUUCCAUAACGGAGACCAUUCUGCAACCCGAAGAUCAUUUACUUGAUAAAAUUCACAUUGCUACUCACCAAAUACUAUAACUAGAUAAGCAUGCACUAAGCCACCCAGCACCCAGAUGAAUUAAAUUUAUGUUGCACUAUUUGUAAAAAUUAAAUCACAGCUUUUUAGUGAUCUGUGAAAUUCUACAUUUGAGAGCAUUUCUGAAAUGCUAUACCAAGGCUUGAAAUAUUUACAUACUAAAGAAUCUAUUUCAAACCCAGAACAAAAUGAUUAACAUGUUACAUGGAAAUAAAGAGGUAGCAAUGGAACUUUAUAAUACAGACAGUGCCUGAAAAUUUAUUCUUUUUUUAGACCAAAUUAAGUGGUGAGUACCUAUAUAAUUUUUUUUCUUGAUUGACUGUAAGGCAAAAAAAAUCUAUCUCAAUUUAAAGCUACUUGUUUAUAGCAAGUAGCAUAUCUAUUAAAGUACUAUUCUGAGUUUCAUAUGGACCUGUUAUCUGUAUCCUGUAACAUGACAACUCAGUAUAAACAUACCUUCAAAAUGCAGUCCAAGUGUACAAAGAUUAUUCACCUGAUCAUGGCUGAAGUAGAGGUGGUUAGGUAAUGAUUUGGCUGCAAAAGUAGCCAAAAGCAUUUUUAAGAACGCAACUAGUCAAAUGCUCCUGUAAACUUUUAGAAAGACAAGAAUGUUGAAAUUAUUAAUUAAAAUGAAAAUGUCAAGCUUAUGUGUUUAUAUAAAUGUUUGAAAUAAUUUUAUUUUCUUAAUAGUUUAUGCAUCUGUAAUGAAUUGACUUUCAUUUUGUUUAAAAUGUUUUUGUUUUAUUGAACAAAUGUUCAGGGAUUUUUUUUUAGUUAAUGAAACAUAUAAUCUUUUUGGAAAUUAAUUUUGAGAAAUACCCUAUGUGUUAGCCAGUUUUAUGAUCUUGAAGCAAUCAUUUCACCUUAGGAUUUGAGGGAAGCUUACUUUUCCCAUCCACUAACUGAGGAGAUUGGACAGAUGAUUUCUAAGUCUUUCCAAAUAUUACAUAAGCUUGGAUUUGCAAAGUGCAUAUAACAUUUAAUUUAAAAAGGUAGUGUUUGUUAGGAAAAACUACAAACUGAAUGAUGAUUAAAGUUUCAUUUUAUCAAGGACUAUUCAAGGAGGCAGAAACAUCGAAAAGAGUGGAAUGGAGGAGACGCUGAUUAAAAAAUAAAGACAUUACCUCAUCACUUUUUCAAAACUGAAACCCUUCACCACCAAAAAUAUCAUGAAGACUGAAAUUGAAAAUCUAAACAUAAACUGAAACAAUAGCAUAGCAACAGAAGAUAAUAUGCUUUCUAUUUCAGAAAAAAAUGAUUAUUUAAAGAAAAAUCAAAAUACUCUCCAGAAUAGAUGUAUAAAUAAUUUACCAUUCUAAAUAUAAUGGAUUAUAGUCUCUAGAGUGUUUGUAAAUACAGCUAUCACUCAUUAUAAAUGAACAUAAGCUACAGAAAAUUGAAACUUAAAAAACUAAAAAAAGGAACUAAUGUGUUUUAAAUCAUGUGAAAUCAUGAAAUUAAGAAAUUUUAAAGAUGUAGUACAUUAUAUGCUAGAGCAUAGUACUCCUUAGUGAAAUAGUCAAAUAGAGAGAGAGAGAGAGAGAGCACGAGAGAGAAAACUUCUUAAGAUCAAGGAGUAUCCAGUGAUGGAUGGCAUGCCUGUGAUCCCAUGGAUGGAAAAGAGACAUUUGAAAUGCCAGUGUUAGAAAAGAUGGUACGUGUUUUCAGAAAUGCUUUUAAGUGUGGCAAUUUUAGCAAAGAAAAAAAUUGAGUUAUUAUUGUAGGAUCUACACAUAGUAGGAUGAGAAUUAUUAUUAUUUUAUCAUAAAAUAUUUAACUUUUUCAUUAUAGUUUUCAAAUAGGCUUUGAGAAAAUUAUUUUUUCCUGUGUUUGGGUAGUUAGCCUUCUCCAUAAAAAUAAUUAUAGCUUUAACAAUUUCGUUGGACUAAACACACAAAAACACUGCAAAAUCUGCCCAAAAAUAGUCUAAGUCAAAUUUCUCUUAGAAAUAAAUUGGUUGUUUCCAUGUGGAGAAUUCCAGAGAGUGUGCAGCAUAUGGUGAACAGAUUCUAUAAUUUGGAUUGAAAGACCUUCAGUGCAAUACAUAUUAAAAGAUCAUAGAAUUGUAAUAUGUUCAAUUUCAUCAGAGUCCUUAAUUUUGGUUGAUUCUCACCCUCUAUACCUCUCUCUCCUACUACUACUGAUCACCCAACCAAUGGUGGAUAUUAGGAGGCCAUGACAAGUGACGUAAUUUAAAACAGGCCCAAGUGUUUCAGUGUGACCUAACUAAAGCCAUUUGCUGAUAAACUACUUGGUAUUUGGGAAAAGUGACUUGUGAAUUACUGUUCAGGGGAAGACUUUCUGUUCACAUACAUUUAACGUAGCCCACUACUAUGUUAGCUUUUGCAUUAUUGUCUCCAAAGUAUGACAAAAGCAUAUUUAGAGGACUCCCCAUCUUCAACCAAUUUUCAGUGUAGCCUCCAUUUUCCAAGCUUACAUUGACAUUACCUAUUAAAAUAACUUCAAGCACACAUAUAUCUUAAAAAGCCAUCUUCCCUGAGGCUGCACUAUGAUGAUCAACAGCAAUUGCCUUGUUAGGAAAGACAAUUUUAUCAGUGUAUUUUGAGUCAUUCUGCCUAAAGUGAAAAUUACAUUGAGCAAAAAAUCCACUAAAAUUGUAUAUUUUGCAUUGUUAUGACAAGAACUUAAAAUAUUUCACCUAAAAUCUUAGUGAAGUGCUUCAAAACAAAUGUCAUUAGAUAUUUUUCUCACUUUCAGUUUUAAAUAGACAGAUGAUUUUCUAUGUAAUGUUUUAAUAUUUAAGCUAUGGUGUUUACAUAGAUCACUAAUAAAAUACCCAUCAAGUACUUACUGGUUCUUUGAAGAGAGAGAGAGAAAAAAAAAGAGGACUUAGUGUUCUUUCUUUUAAGUAGUAAAGUUAAAUAUAGCCCCAACAGAAAGUCUAGGAACACCUAACAUAAGCUAAUGUUUUUAUUUACACCCCUUUCCAAAGAACAGCAAUAUAUCAGUCUUUUACAAAUAAUCUAUUUAUUCAUUUAAAAAUAUACUCUGAGUACCCGCUAUGUGCCAGGGAUUUUUUUUCUUAUUUCAAUUUCAAGCUUCUCAUCAACUAUUUUGAUAUUCGUGCCUAUUUUACCAGGAUUUAAAAUUUUACUAUCUUAAAUAUUUUUGUUAUUAUACUGUUUAUAACAAAUAUACUUUUAUAAGCUAAAUGUGUAAUCAAAAGAAUCAGAAGACUCUGCUGUUAAAAUUUAAUCAUUUUUCUUGUUAAUCUCCUGUAAUAUCUCUCAUAAAAGAUACUUCUUCUGUUCUGAAAUCCUCACUACAUACAAUUCUUAUUUUCAUUGUAAGAAAAAAAAUUCUCAGCUUUUACCUCCAAUUAACUGUUAACUUACUACAACCUUACUUUCCCACUUUUCCACUGAAACUCCUCUUAAUGUCAUCAAUAGCUACCAUUUUGCCAAAUGCUAAGGACUUUACUCUGUCUCUAUCUUUAAAGUUUCAGCAGCCUUUAACAAAGGAGAUCCCAUUUCUUUUCUGAAAUACUUCUCUCUGUUGGCUUCCAUGAUGCCAAUAUCUUCUGUUUCUUUCUUUCGUCACUAGCUACUCCUGCUCCUCACUUUUGCCUCUCUUCUUCUACCCACAACCUACAUGUUAGAGUAACUUAGAGCCAAGUGCCAUGCCCCCUCCUCCUUUCUGGCUAUGCCAUUUCCUGGAUGAUCUCAUCUAGUUGGCUGGCUAAAAUAAUACUUAUAUCAGUGGAUCUCAUUCCUAUUGGAUCUAAGGCCUUCUGUUAUAUAAAAUAUUUUAUUACACUGCCAUCUUUACUAUCCCCACAUAAAAUUUACAAAUACUGUAAAUUACUUAGAGACAUGAUUAGAAAAAAAGUCAAUAUAGCAGCCUAACUCAAAGAAAAAAUAAAAGGAAAUUAAUUUACAAUAAAAUAAUAUGAUUUAACAUGUAAAUUUUUAGAAAUGUCUUUAUUAGUAGACAUACCCAUAGGUAAUGUUUGUACCUAUUUAUAAUGAAUGUAUAAGUGAGACAAUCAAAAGCCAUUAUAUACAAGAAGCAAACAAAUAUAAAAAAAGGUGCAGAGAGGUAGAAAUGGGCUUGAGAAUAAAAUCUAGUUUAGAAUGUUAUAAUAAAUACAAUUCAAUUGUAUAUGGGAAGAAAAUAACUAUAAUGGGAAUAAGAAAAGUGGCCAAGGUAAAUUUCAGACCGUUGAAGUGGAACCAAUAAGAAAGUUUGAUAUUCUCUUAAGGAACUUUUUUCUUAGUACCAAAAUAAUUCCUAUGUUAUUGCAUGGUAUGAAGUAGUGAUAAAGUAUCUCAAAAUUUCAAACAUACUUUCUCUCUUAAAAUUCUACCACAAAUGGAAGCCUACAUUUAGUCUCUGGUACUUAAGGAGACACAGGACUCUACUUCAAUGGGCAACAGGGACUAGAGUAUAGAUAGAAAGAGAAGCAGAAAUAUAAGAGGAUAUAGAGAAGUUGUGUUACACCUCUGGGGACAGAACGUCUGAGAAACAAUAGGCAGCCCCAAGACAAAUAUAACAUUUCCAUGUUAUUUUCACUUUAGUCAUUUCUUAUCUUGGCAGUGAUAUAUCUUUUUAAAGUUUUAUUAAUGACAUUCCUUAAUACAUCUGCACUAUUUUAAUUAACAUUUGGUUCUGAGUCUGUUGCAAGGGGUUUCAUCUGUUACAUCAGGGCUACAUUACAGCACUAAAACUACUGAUUUUUAAUAGCUGCAUUACAGCACUGAAAUGUGUUACCACUAAAUAUAUGGUUGGAAAUGCAAGAAUACAUCAAGUACGAGACAGAUAAACAGAGUACACAAAUUUAUUUCAUGAUUUUAAGACAAUAUAUUUGCUUUCCUUCUCCUUAACUAUCUUUUUUAUAAGUUAUUGGGCUUCUUAUGUAACUGCUUGCUGAAUAAAAAAGAAUUAUCAUGCAAUUAACUACUACCAAUUUAUCUUUACAAGGUAUUCAGUUGGAGAGAACAUUGAAAUAUUGUGUAGGACAUGGGCCGAUAAUUUGUUUUUCCAAAUUUUUGUACACCACGGCUGGUCAUCUAGCAUUCUCAGCCACUGACAGCCAAAUGUCAAUAGAACCCCCCAAAUCAUUGUGACGUCUAAGUAAUGCCCACAUACAAUUUCCAAACAUUCCAGGAUGGCAAUGCAGUGUUCACUAUGAACCACAGAUCUCUAUGUGGACAACCUUGUGCCCAAACCAGACUCAUAUCCAACUGCCUACUUGACAAAUACCUAGUUGUUUUAUCUGAUAAUUUCCUUUCCAUACCCCCAACAUCUAAUCUGCAACACAUCCUAUUCACUUUAUUUCCAACAGAUAUUUUAAAUACAUUCAAUUCUUUCUAUUUCCACUAUCACUUCUCUAGUCCAAGUCUUGAUUAGUUCUCCCUUCGACCGAUGUGGUAGUCUACUAAUUGUUUUUUAGUAGUCCAUUGUUUAUCCUUAUUUCAAAUACAACCACCAGUAUAAACAUUUUAAGACAUACAUCAGAUCAUACUACUCCUUCAUGUAAAAUCCUUCAAUGAAUUCCUAAUGUGCUAGAUUAAAUCUUAAGUUUUCCUAUGGUUUGUAAGGUUUUUGAUGACUCCAUUCUAUUUCCUUGAUUUCACUACAUGAAUUCUUCCUUUGCUCAUUCUGUUUCAGGUACACUGGGCCACUUUGUGUUUUUUCAUGCAAACUGUUUUUGCACCAGGGUAUCAUUUUUCUUUUCCAAGAAUGCCCAUUACCACAGUUUCUAUUUGGUGUGCUCAUUUUAAUUCUACUGGUCUCAGUCCAAAUGUUACCUUCUCUGACCUAUUUUCCCUAAUCAUACCAUCUAAUUGGAUUCUCUUGAUUAUUUGAUAUCUUUCUUUCCAAGUGUUCAUUAUAUUGUCAUUAUUUGUGUACUCUUGUGUUUCCAUGCUUUUUAUUUUUCUUUCAUACCAGAAAACAUGUUCCACAAAAGCAGGAAACUUGUCUCUCUUGUGCUUCACCAUAUCCCCAGAUUUUAGCAAAUGGCAGAGCAUCAAUAAAAAUGUGUUAAAUUAAUAAAACAUUUAAAAAAUCCAUCUAUAAAUCAUAUAGCAAAAAGUAUUCUAAAUUCUCCAAAAUAUGGUGUCUUUUAAAUUUGUUUGAUUAAAGCUUUAAAAGAGAAAACCAUUUCUUUCUUCUAAUAUUGAUACUGAGAAGAAAACUAAAGUUGGCAUUGACAUUGAAACUAAAUUUGGAUUGACAUUAUGAUCUUUUAGUGAUGUAUAAAUCAGGCAGUAAGUUGGCUCAGAGAUAACUCAAGGGUCCUACCUGUACAUUGUCUCCUAAUAAUAUAACUUCCAUUUUGCCUACUGGGAAUUAUAAUUCUAUAAAAGACUGAUUGAUAAUUUAUCAAACAAGGCCUUGAAAUGGGGAAGGAAGAAUGGAAGUAAGUACUUUCCAAUGAAAUCUAGUACCUUUCCUAACUUGAACCACAGACUACAAUUCUACAUAUGCCUCAGGCAUCGUGAAGUAAAUGAGAGAAGAAGAGUGUAAGAAAUGUAUAGGGGGAGUGUGACAAAUCAGAAAGGAAAGGCAAUGAUAUGUGAAUUUAUACACUGAGCAGACAUGGGGGAAAAGAUUUAAUAUAACCAACAAAUUUAAAACACUUAAAAAUGACUUCAAUCAUAUUGUCAACACUUUUUAAAAAUUUUAUUUUAUUUUAAUUUUUAAAUGGAUUUUAUUUUUCAAAACAGUUUUAGAAUUACAGCAAACCUUUGCAGAAAAUGCACAGUUCCUGUAUACCCUCAGCACAUAUGCACGGUCCCUACCACUAUUAACAUCUUGCACCAGAGCAGUAUAUUUGUUACCAUCAAUGAGCCUACAUUCACACAUCAUUAUUACCCAAUGUCAUUAUGUUGGGGUUCACUGUCGGUAUUGUACAUUCUAUUGGUUUUAACAUAUAUAUAUAACAGUAUGUAUGCAUCCACCAUUAUAGUAUUAUACGGAAUAGUUUCACUGACCUAAAAAUCCUUUGUACUCCACCUAUUCAUCCUUCCCUCUACCCUAAUUUCUGACUACUGUUGAUCUUUUCACUGUUUACAUAACUUUGCCUUUUUCAGAAUGUCAUAUAGCUGGAAUUAUAUAGUACACAGCCUUUUCAGAUUAGCUUCUUUACCUUGGUAAUAUGCAUCUAAUGUUCCUUUGUGUCUUUUUAGAUGGCUUCAUAUGUCAUUUCAUUUUAGCACUGAACAAUAUUCCACUGUCUGAAUCAAAGGAUAUGUGUCCAUUGACCUCCUGAAGGGCAUCUUGCUUCCUUCCAACUUUUGGUAAUUAUGAAUAAAGCUGCUAUAAGCAUCCAUAUACAGGUUUUUAUGUGGACAUACAUUUUCAGUUCAUUUGGGUAAAUACCAAGGAGCAUGAUUGCUGGGUCAUAUGGUAAGAGUGUGUUGAGUUUUGUAAGAAACUCCCAAACUGUCUUCUAAAGUGACUGUACCAUUUUGCACUCUCACCAGCAAUCAAUGUCUGUUGCUUCAUGUCCUCACCAAUAUUUGGUGUUAUCAGUGUUUAGGAUUUUUGCCAUUCCAAUUCUAUUAGAUGUGUAUAAUAUCUCAUUGUUGUUUUAAUUUUAAAAUUACUGAUGAUAUAUGAUGUUGAGCAUCUUUUCAUAUGCUUAUUUUCCAUGUGUAUAUUUUCUUUGGUGAGGUGUCUGUUCAGGUUUUUUUGCCCAUUUUUUAAUCUAGCUGUUCAUUUUUGAUUGUUGCAUUUUGAGAUUUAUUUGUAUAUUUUAGAUAACCAUCUUUUAUUAGGAAAAAAAAGUCAAUGUUUCUUUUGGAUAUGUCUUUUGCAAAUAUUUUCUCCCAAACUGUAAGAAAUCUUCUCAUUCUCUUGACAGUGUCUUCUGGAGAACAGAAAAUUUUAAUUUCAGUGGAGUCCAACUUAUCAAUUAUUUCUUUCAUGGAUUCUGCUUUUGAUAUUAUAUCUGUAAAGUCAUUGCUAUACCCAACAUCAUGUAGAUUUUCUCCUGUUAUAUUCUAAAAGUUUCAUAGUUUUGAAUUUUACAUUUAGGUGUAUGAUCCACUUUGAGUUAAUUUUUAUGAAGGGUGUAAGGUCUGUGUCUAGAUUUAAUCAUUUCUGUGUAGAUGUCCAAUUGUUGGACACCAUUUGUUGAACAGAUUAUUUUUUCUCCAUUAUGUUGCUUUUGCUCCUUUGUUGAAGGUCAGUUGACUAUAUAAAUAUGAGUCUGUUUCUGGGCUUUUUAUUCUGUUCCAUUGAUCUAUUUGUCUAUUUUUCCAUCAAUAUCACACUGCUUUGAUUAUAAUGGCUUUAUAGUAAGUGUUGGAGUUGGGUAGUGUCAGUCCUCCAACUUUGUUCUUCUCCUUCAAUAUUGUGUUGGCUGUUCUGGGUCUUUUCUGUCUCCAUAUCAACUUUAGUAACCAAUGUUUUAUUUUAAAACUACACCUUCAGAUCUCGUAACACUAGAUGUAUGUAUGUCAACAUACAUUACAUAAGUAUAUGAUAGACAUACUCUCAAAAUUACUGUGAAAUAGGUUUUAAUCAAUGGUAUUUAUUUUAAACAUCAAGACAAAUGACUUCUGAGUGGAAGUGCUCAAUAAAUACAAAACUAUCAUAAUCAUUGCCAUCAUCAUUAUUAUUAAGAGCAACAAUCUUUUCCGCAGAGGUUGGAAACUCUGGUUAGGUGACUUGCCCAAUAUCAGAGCUGGCAAGUGUUUAAGAGGAUUCAAAUCCAAGUCGAUUGACUUCAAGCUUAGUGUUAUUUCCACUCCUGCGUGCUAUGAAUGUUGAGGCAGUAAAUGCACUCUUAAAUCAUUUUUCCCAUUUUUUUAACCAGAUAAAACUUCUAUGACACCAUGUAGAAAACAGUAGAAAAUAGACUUUGCAAUUAACUGAAACCUAGCUCCUAAGGGUUACAUUAUGUAGUCCUAUCCUUUCCCAAGUGUAUAGAACUUUUUAUCCUGCAGAAAAUUUAAAGAAAGUAUGGCCUAAAUAAUAUUAUCAUCUAGUUGGGAUAUUAUUUCCAUGGGAUUUUCUCAACAUUUGGGGGUUUUCAAUAGAGAGUUAGACUGACGUACUAGAGGAAAGGAUCAUAGAUUUUGGUCCCAGACUUUUUUUUUUUUUUUUUUUGAAAUUCACUUGGUUAUUCUGAGACUCCAGUAAAAUACUGGAGGUGAAAAUUCUCUCAAAACUGUAAAGUACAAGUGUACAAGUAUACUACGUUAUAAUUAUCAACGUGUCAUUUUCUAAAUUAUAACUGUAUAAUACUUGAAACCAAAUAGCCUAUCAAUAGUUGAUUAAUGAAUGAAUGUGAUAAAUUCUUAAUAAUUCAUAACUUUUUACAUAGUUAUUAUUUUUAAUGUCAUGUAAAUAGAUGAGCCAUUUAAACUAUUAAAGUACAAAGUGAUAAAAUGGUUUU